CAAGAUUUUAAGAGUGGGAGCAUAAACAACUCAAGGUUGGAGUUUUGGGUUAGUGGAAUGGAAAAUAAGUAUUUUCUCCAUAAUUUAAUCUGGAGUAAAGACUUUCAGAAAUGACCUGGAGUGAAUUGUGACGGUGGGAGAAAUGCCGUCUCUCACCGGCCUAAGUCUCCAGGGAAGUACGUGAUGGGACGGCUCAACAUCAGGCUUCACGUCUCUUUACCUUUCUCCUGCUCCUUAAAGCAUGCUUACCCUGAACUGUUAUUCUGCUAUAAGCUGAAAUUUGUGCAGGUUCAUGUUGCUUCAAAAACAGCCCCUUUCAAAGAAAAGCUGACGUCUCUGUGCCCUUCACAGAACAGUCGCUUCAUUGCCAAGGUCCUCAAACAAGUCAGUCAAGUUGGACGGGCUUCCUCCUUGUCAAAAAACGGCAAGUCGGAGACUCGCACCGCUGGCGUGCACUCACAUCCUCCAAACUGUCUCAUGGCAGCCAUGCAGAUCAGGAGGGCGGUAUCUUCCCAAACCGGGGGCGAGAGAGAUGGAGGAUGUUAUGUAUUCACGUGCUGAGCACAGCAUCAUCAAUUAAGUGAGAAAGCCCAAGUCACCCAAAUCCUAGCUUACCAGGGCGUCAGAGCAGAGGAAACUGAGCAGGUCCCUCCCCACGUGGGAAAGCAGAUGAGGCCCCUGCGUGUCCCCUAAGAACUUUUGACUCGAAGUAGAAAACUUAGGCUCCGUUGAAGAAAGUCUUCAGAUCUCGGUAGGAUUAAAUUAGAGAGAGAUCUGAGCCAGGAAUUUGAGAGAAAGCUACCUAAUUAUACCUAGAUAGUCAUACUAAUCUUGCUUUUAUAAUUAAUCAUAGGUCUGAGAACACUUGGCUGUUUAAAAAAUAAAGUCACAAUGACCUGUGACCCCUUACCUGGUGGCGGUGUAGCCCAACUGGAAGAAAAUCCCCCAGAAAGCAGUAAAAAGCAAACGGAGAGCUAGCCUUGCGAAUCUAGCCAACUAAAUGACUGUAGAUCUCCUAUCUGUCUUUGCAAAGCCAAACCCGAGACGAGACGAGACAUGGAACAGCUUCCUAUGAAGGACAAAGCUGGAUGCAUGCUAUCUGCAGAACAAAACACUAACUUCUUAACAUUACCUUCAAGAUUACAUGUAAUGUGGCCCCAAAUGCCUUCGCAGCUGCCUGUCCCUCUCAGGACACCUCUCAUCUCAGCAGGCGCGCUGUUCUUUCCUCGUUCCCCCCAGGGUGCCUCGCGCCACAGGGAGUGGGCGCCUCAGCCCCGGCGUUCUUCCAGCCGCGAGGCUCUGCGUCCUGGCUCAUCAGGACCACUCUCCGCUCUCCAGGCCCCAUCAGACACCACCUUCCUUGUCGUACCCGCAGGUUUUUACAGGUGCCUUCACUUAAUGCUUAUUUCCUUCUGCCUUGCAUUUUAGCUGGUUUUAUGUUUCUCUCCCCUGUCAGAGUGCUCUCCCUCUGUAGAGGCCUCUGACCCAGUCCAAGGGCCUCUACACAGUAGCCGCUCAUUACGUGUUUGCUGAACUGGGUCAGCCAGAAAGUAUAGGAACACUAAGAUGGUUGAUCCGGACCAUAUCUGCAGCCAUGCACACACGCGCUGAAAUGUCCAGAAAUGGGGCCUUGGGACAGAACAUUUGAAACUGGACCGGUCCCCAAAGCCCCAGACUGUGAAGGCUGCUGUAACACCAACCCAUAAUAAUGGCUGGCAUUGCUGAGUGUUUGCUACAUUCUAAGAACUACAUUAAGUUCUUUCCACAGACUGGGCCAUUUGAUUAUCCCAACAACCUAAUGAGGUUGAAGUACCAUUAUCCCCAUUUUACAGGUAAGAAACCCAGACUUGAAGGAGACCAAAGGGCCACUUUCUCCUCUGGGCUUCUCUCUCUCUCUCUCUCUCUCUCUCUCGCCUUGGAGGAGGCCCUGGUAGGCAUUGCUGUCAUUUGUACUGUAUGCUGGUAUCUGCUUAAUACAGUCACAGGGAGGAGGUCCUCACAACAGGUGCUAUUCCCAUUAUAGACAGCUCUCUGAUUCUCACAAAUUCCUCCAGAUAUCGUUGGCAUUGAUAGACAGAUAUGUAAGAGGAGAUUUAUGAGAAUUCUGCCCACUGGAAAGCCACUGAAGGGGUGGAAGCAGGUGUGCAUGUGACCACCUCUUGGAAACACCCCUCCGACCGCAGCACGGGAGCCAGCAGGGUGAGCAGUGGCCCUCGGGCCUCCAAUCUGAAAACCCACAGAACGGAGCCAUAGGAUAUCGAGGCAAAGGGAAGCGGAUGCAGUGGAGCCCUGUUGAGGAGGUGAUGGGGAAAGGGCUUCGGCAACAUUCGGAAAUGGGGACCGAGGGGCAGCGAUGCAUCGGCAAGGAGCCCAGGUUCCUGGCCUGUGAAGCCAGACUGACGGCGGUGGCUGCGGCCACCGAGAUGAACAGAGCGGGGGCCACGCCGUGCGUUUGGACUACAAUGUGUUUGAGGGACCCUUGAGCUAUGAACGAGACUGGGAAGAAACUGGGCAGGUGAAAGCCAGGGAAAAAGUCGUUCUUGAGGGGGAGCCGGAGGAUGGAGAGGGAAAUGAGUUCGUUAAUGUGUGCCUGCCUGUUUUAUUAUUUGUUUACACAUUCGGUCCAUUCGUUUGACCUGUUAUGCCCUGCCAAGAACACGGAAACAUUGGAAGGAGAGGAGAGGAAGAUCAGCAGGUGGGGUGAGGACCGGCCGGCCCAUGGCGGAUCUUGAAUUCCACACUGAUCCCCUUGGGUCGCCAUGGACGGCGGGCAGGGCAACGUCACGGUGGAGGUGUGUUCUGGGAAGGUUGCCCUGCCAGUGUCACACGCAGGCAAGAAACUAGGGGGAGGAAGACCAUGACCGGAACCGUAAGGAUGCUAAAGGACGGCCUCAUCCUAAGUGUGAUAUGAGGUUACCGUCAGGGGGUGACAAAUUCCCAUGUGGACAUUCAUUGUAUUUCAUACAUGGGGCUACAUAUCUUUAACCUAUCUCUCCAUUAUAGGUUUGGGAAUAGGAAAAGGUUAGCUUGGAGAAUGUGGAAAGUAGGUCUUUUUCCUGUCAAUGUUCAAUAACCAAGCAGAGGUAGGACAUUUUCAUGGGAGCUAAUGUUAGAAGUGAAAGACCUGCGCAUAGUAGGCCCUCAGAAAGAUCUAUGAAGUUGAAUUGGAUUGACGUCUGUGGAGUGGUGAGAGCUCCACCCUGGACUCCUAGAGGGGACAGGGGAGCCCUUGCAUGAGAAUCAGGACCUCGGUGACCCCCAUCUGCUCCUCCCUCCCCCUCCGCUGCCAUGGCGACCUGUCUGGAAUGGCAGUAAGCCCUGUGCCCCGGAGAACACAAUACUCUGUUUGAACAGUGUAAGUUGGCCUCCAAGGCCCAGGGCCUGCUGGUCCCAUCCCCCACAAUCAGGGAUUCCUAGGAAAGGCAGCUUUUCUUUUGCCAGAAGCUCGGCCGCACCCUGCUCGUUGAUUUGAGCCCAUUUCAUCCCACAGUGCUUUCCACGCAUUUGUUGUUGAACUCACACCACAGCCUCAGUGCUGCGGGCUCGUUGCCUGUCUGUCUGUUGUCUGUCUGCGUGAAGUCGCUGCUGUGGCCAUCUAUCUGCCUGCCCUCUGCUUGGCCCCGCAGAGCACCCUGCCUCUUUCCUGUGUCUUCCUGUCGCUGCAGUUGGCUCACCAGGCCGGGGCUGUUUGAGCUCAGCUGGGUUAGUAACAGUGCAAUCCACAUCUCCAUUUUUUUU